rnacentral:rRNA from 1 species
GACGAACGCUGGCGGCGUGCUUAACACAUGCAAGUCGAGCGGUAAGGCCCUUUCGGGGGUACACGAGCGGCGAACGGGUGAGUAACACGUGGGUGACCUGCCCUCAGCUCUGGGAUAAGCCUGGGAAACUGGGUCUAAUACCGGAUAUGACUCCAUGACGCAUGUUGUGGGGUGGAAAGCCUUGUGCGGCUGAGGAUGGGCCCGCGGCCUAUCAGCUUGUUGGUGGGGUGANGGGCCUACCAAGGCGACGACGGGUAGCCGGCCUGAGAGGGCGACCGGCCACACUGGGACUGAGACACGGCCCAGACUCCUACGGGAGGCAGCAGUGGGGAAUCUUGCGCAAUGGGCGAAAGCCUGACGCAGCGACGCCGCGUGAGGGAUGACGGCCU